GAUGAACGCUGGCGGCGUGCUUAACACAUGCAAGUCGAACGGUGAAGGCGGAGCUUGCUCUGCUGGAUCAGUGGCGAACGGGUGAGUAACACGUGAGCAAUCUGCCCCUGACUCUGGGAUAAGCGCUGGAAACGGCGUCUAAUACUGGAUACGAGCUGCGAAGGCAUCUUCAGCAGCUGGAAAGAAUUUCGGUCAGGGAUGAGCUCGCGGCCUAUCAGCUUGUUGGUGAGGUAAUGGCUCACCAAGGCGUCGACGGGUAGCCGGCCUGAGAGGGUGACCGGCCACACUGGGACUGAGACACGGCCCAGACUCCUACGGGAGGCAGCAGCGGGGAAUAUUGCACAAUGGGCGAAAGCCUGAUGCAGCAACGCCGCGUGAGGGACGACGGCCUUCGGGUUGUAAACCUCUUUUAGCAGGGAAGAAGCGAAAGUGACGGUACCUGCAGAAAAAGCGCCGGCUAACUACGUG
rnacentral:rRNA from 1 species